CCACGUCCGGCCUUUGCUUCUUUGCAUAAUCUCAGCUGAGAUUUAUAAUUUACUUGUGGGAUUCUCCCCUCUCAAACUAUAAGUUCUGUGAAGACAGAGAUGGUAUUUUUUUCUCCUCACUUUAUUUAUUUAUUUGAGACAGAGUCUCACUAUGUUGCCCAGGCUGGAGUGCAGAGGUGCAAUCUCGGCCCACUGCACGCUCCACCUCCUGAGUUCAAGUGAUUCUCCUGCUCAGCCUCCUGAGUAGCUGGGACUACAGAUAUGCACCACCAUGCCUGGCUAAUAUUUGUAUUUUUAGUAGAGACGGGGUUUUGCCAUGUUGGCCAGGCUGGUCUCAAACUCCUGACCUCAGGUAAUCCACCUGCCUCUGCCCCUCAAAGUGCUGGAAUUACAGUCACGAGCCACUGCGCCCGGCCUUCUCCUCACCUUUUUCUCCAGUGUCCACUCCAGCAUGCAGUAUUUGAUAAGCGCUCAGUAAAUGUUUGUUGAAUGACUUACUAACCUGAGCUUGUGUUAACUCUCUCACUGUAUUGAUUCUGAAAGGCAAAGAGGGCCCAAGGUCACAUGUAGGGAAGGGCCAAAGGCAGGACUGGAGCCCAGCAAUUCUUGUUCAACCACACGGAAUGGGAAGUAAAGUCCUCUUUGGCCAGCAGCAGAGGGGCCAGGUCCCCCUUGUCAUCAGCCUGGAAGACCCUAAAGGAUCAUCUAGGACAAUUCUUUCAUUCUUUGAAUGGGGCAUCUAAAACUGAAGAGUGGACAGGGAUUGUCUAGAGUCAUACGGUGAAGGUGAUCCGGAAGUUCCGCUAGAGAACACAGCAGAUUCUAUCCUGUAGAAACACAAUGGGUUCUACCCAGAUUGCCUGACACUCAAUAUUCUUUCCAGUAUCCCCAACUCUCCUGGAGGUGAAGGACUAAGGGGGUGGGGGCAUGGCUCUCAGACUCCAGACUGACAACCUAAUAUUGAGGCUGGGCUGGGAGUGGAACCGAGAUUUCCCAGCCUGAGGCCAAUGGAUGACAAGGGCCUUUCUUGUUCUCCUCCAGAGCCUCUUCUGGAGCCCCACUAGGGAAUUCCUGUCCUUGGAAAAGUGGGAGAGGACCAGAACAUUCUGGAAUAAAGACUGGAGACAUUCAGAGUGACGCAAGAAGUACAGUCCACAGUGGAGGAAAACUCCAGCUGCCAGGCAAUUGCCCGCUGGUCCCUGGCCUGGUCUAGGUGGUUGUGGGGGAAGGGGAGCUAACUGCAGUGACUCACUUAACCCUUUCCGGGCAGAGGAAGAUAACGCUUUUUAAUUGAAGAAAUUUUUUAAUUAAAAAACAUUUUUUUGACGGCUUCUUGUUGAGCAGGGCUACCCCACAGGCCAUGUGCCUAGAGUGGCCUUAAUUGAAAUUUUUGUUACAAUCAUUGUAGAUUCCUGUACAGUUAUAAGAAAUAAAACAGCCGGGCGUGGUGGCUCAUGCCUGUAAUCCCAGCACUAUGGGAGGCCGAGACGGGCGGAUGACGAGGUCAGGAGAUUGAGACCAUCCUGGCUAACACGGUGAAGCCCCGCCUCUACUAAAAAUACAAAAAAUUAGACGGGCGAGGUGGCGGGCGCCUGUAGUCCCAGCUACUCGGGAGGCUGAGGCAGGAGAAUGGUGUGAACCCAGGAGGCGGAGCUUGCAGUGAGCCAAUAUCGUGCCACUGCACUCCAGCCUGGGCGACAGAGCGUCUCCAAAAAAAAAAAAAAAAAAAGAAGAAAUAAAACAGAGAGGCUGGGCACAGUGGCUCACGCGUGUAAUCCCAGCACUUUGGGAGGCCGAGGCAGGUGGAUCACCCAGCCUGGGCAACAAGAGGGAAACUUCAUCUCAAAAUAACAACAACAACAAAAAAGAAAACAGAGGGAUCCCAGGUACCCGCCUUCACUCAGUUUCCCCAAUGGUAACAUCUCGCAGAACUACUGGGCGCCAUCACAGCCGGGGUCUGACUGCUCUUGCUCAGGUUUCCCCGGUUUUCCGUAUCCUCACGUGUGUGUAUUUACUUCUGUGCAAUUUUAUCGCAGGCCAAGGCAGGCGGAUCACCUGAGCUCAGGAGUUUGAGACCAGCCUGGGCAACAUGGUGAAACCCUGUCUCUACAAAAAAUACAAAAAUUAGCCGGACACGGUGGCACGUGCCUGUAGCCCCAGCUCCUUGAGGGUCUGAGAUGGGAGGAUCACUUGAGCCCAGGAGGUGGAGGUUGCAGUGAGCCCAUAUUGCGCCACUGUACUCCAGCCUGGGUGACAGGGCGAGACCCUGUCUCAAAAACAAAAACAAAUAAACAGAAUGAGAGUAUGCAACCUUUUGGGACUGGCUUUUCCCCUCAGCAGACACCACUUUUCUUGAGCACCUUGAUCUCAUAGUCCCAGGGACGGCUUCUGUUAUUCCCAUUUUACAGCUGAGCAAACUGCUCCCCAACGCCCAACCCCCAGAGCCAGCGCUCAUGAUGGCUAAUUUGGGGAGCAUCUCCUCCAGGAGAGGAGGGCAGGGGGUUGGGCGGAGGGCUGGGGCCAGAGCCUUCCCCAGCCCUGCUGAGACCCAGCUCCCUCUUCUGCAGCCUGUCUCAGAGCGGGGUCUCCUUUGUGCCUCCCACCCGCUCCCCAGGCCCGUCUUUUCCCUCAGCAGAGAGGCAGUGAAUGGGGGCCGCUGGGGGCCGAAUCUGCUGGCCCGAGGCCCAGCUUGGCCACAGAGAGGCUGUGUGACUAGCACGGUGGCCCCAUCCUCUGAGCCUCAGGAUCCCCCUGGGUAAAACAGGGGGAAGGGUCACACCCUGCAAAUCCAUGAAGAUGCAAUGAGGCAACGUGUGAGGCGCAGUCAGCGAAGUGCCAGGCGCAGAGUGAGCCCCCAGCGCACGCCGCGGAGAGCCGCCCGCAGCCCCAUUUGGCAAUGAAUUAUGUAUGGCCUUCUGGCAGCCCUGCGUGUGGGGCUGCAAGCUCCCUCUGCUCCCCCCUGCUUCUCUUUCCGGUGAGGGGCGCAGGCUCCCCCGGGGGGGUGGGCAGUGUUCUUUGUCUCUCCUGCAGGGACCCCCUAUCAGCUUCCCAAGGCUAGUGCCUCAGUGCCCAGGAUGCCCAUUUCACAGGCUGGAGAACCAAGGGCUGGUAUAGCUCAGGGUCUUUUUCAACAGACACUAAUAACAAUAAUAGAGCGCCACCAGUAACAAUAAUAAUCACCAUCGUACCUGCUGGGCUUUGUUUUUCUGUGUGUGCCAGACACAUUUAACAGAAAAUCCUUCAUCCAACAAAAAUGUCCACCUGUGCAG
rnacentral:lncRNA from 10 species